CAGUAGAGUCUAAAGCUUGUCAUUUUCAAAUAACUAGGUAUGCACAUGAAUUACAGUUCAAAAUUCAUAGCCACUGGCUAAACAGAUACGUAUAUAUCUCCCCCAUUUGUGUUUUACUGUGAUACUUUAUAGUUACUACAGAGUUCACCGUGGGGAAGUAGACGGAUUGGAGGAACUCCUCUUAGAUGGAGCUUUUGCCUGGAAUUUAUGGGAUGGAACCAGGGGAGCCUGGGAGUUAUUGCUCUUUUUUUUUUUUGCCAGACCUGGGACUUGAACUCAGGGCCUGGGCACUGUCCUUGAGCUUCUUUUGCUCAAGGCUAGCACUCUACCACUUGAGCCACAGUGCCACUUCCGGCUUUUUCUGUGUAUUUGGUACUAAGGAAUCGAACCCAGCGUCUCAUGCAUGCAAGGCAAGCACGCUACCACUAAGCCACAUUCCCAGUCUGGAGUUACUGUUGUGAAAGUAACCACUGAUCGUAUGUAUGUCUAUUUAUGUGUAGGACUAUUGAGAGACACUGUCAGCCAUUGACAGAGAUGUUGAAUGGACAUAUGUGCAGGACGCUCAGCAGACGUGCUGUCUUUACAUAUGCGGUAGACAUAACUGUAAAAGGAGGAGGCCUAGCUCCUAAACCAGUAUCUGGGCUCUGCUGCAUUGCUUUGAAUAAGCCACGGAGGAAGCAGAGUAGAUACACUAAAUUAAAAGAAUGGACAGAAAAACUGCUUUAGGAUAUCUUUAGAGCCCAGGUCCUUUAUUGCUUGCUCUACUUCUUUGCCUUUCAUCCUCUUCUUAGCUACUCCAGUGAGGCUCUGGUCCUCUCAUGAGAUGCUCUUGGCUUAGCCAUCAUUUGUUACUGCAUCUGAGAGUCCCAUCUCUCUCCAGAAGCUAUUUGAUCUCUUAGCAGCCCUUGGCACAGCUGACCAGUCUGACAUUUGUGAACCUCUUUCCUCCCUUGCCCUUGCGACUUCAUGAAAAUCCAGACUCUCUUCUUGGGUCAUCGAUGGCUUCUCUUCUGACUCCUCUUUUUUUUUGUUUGGCUGUUUGGCAGUGCUUGCGGCUGAACUCAGGGCCUUGCACUUGCUAGGCAAGCACUCUUUCACAGAGCCAAAUCCUUAACUUCCCUCUUCAGCCCUCCUCCUUUGCUGUCUGGCACCUGGGAGAGGAGUGUCCAGGGCUUGGUCUGUUCUUAGGAGCUGAUCUCAUCUAGGCCCCUGGCUUCAUAGUCUGUUGACAUGUCCAUGGCACCCAAGCUCCGCCCUUAGUUCUGAUCUCCUGUCCUGGCUCCCACUUUGCCUGUUCUCUUCUUCACAGUGUGCCACCCCAUCAUCCACUCAGUUGAAGCUACAAAUCUAGUUUGUCUUUAAUUCUUCCCUCUUCUCAUCACUCAUCAUCCCAUCCCAUUUCAUUAGUAGAAGCUGGCAGCUUUACCUCCAAAGUGUGCUCUCUACUGCAUGGCUUAGAUCUG